GUUCCUGCACGUGUUCUUUGAGCUCUGAGAGUCACGAGUCACAAGUUCAGGAUCCAAUUCCUCUGUGCAAAGUUUUCUCCCUGGUAUGAGCUUUGUUUGCUAUUAAUAGCAAAGGGCAAGUGACGACUUGGACAUCUAAGAUGGUAGAAAUGACCUUUUCCUGAGAAAACAUGACCAUUAAAAGACUUCAUUUCCACCAGGGGCAGCCAUGUUCAUUUGGCCUGGGAUGUACUGGCAAACCUGUUUGGCAGCCUUGGGGGUGGCAUACCCUCUCAUCAAUAUGACAGCCACUCUCCCACAUUUGUACCCCGAGAAUUUUUUGUUUGGUUGUUAUUACUGCUGUUCAUUGCUAUCCAUAAGACCAUACCCUUCUGUUGUAGUAUCAUAACCAAAAGACUAUCAAGGUAGUAAAUAUGUUAAGACACGAGCACUGUGGGACAUCUGUGUGAAAGAGACUUCAAUGGCUUUCUUGGCUUAUGAUAGGGAAUUUUUCCUGAUGCUUCAUUAACAAAACAAAUGAAAUUUUCAUAUGAUCUAUGCAUUAAUUUUAAGUGACUGGGCUAAAUACAGAUUGUGCUAAUGCUAGAGACCUCUAAGUCACCUCUGGCAACACCACUGAAUACUUUCACUUGAAAAUGUCAUGCAGAGAAGUCAUGUUGUUAUGGCAGUUUAAUCAUAUGAGACCUGGCAGCUUAAUCCAUGCUUUUGUUCUCAGCAGAUGAAGGCAAGCUGACAUCUGCUACAAUGACAUCUAAAUGACAUCUGUCAUUUAGGCAAAGAAAACUUCUGAGCAGCUGCAUGAUGUAAAUCAGUAAGAUGAACGAAACUCAGAUAAUAUAAUUACCUAAUACAUAAACUGGUUCUCUUGGGGGGGAAAAAUGCAGCGGUAAUUGAGAGCAAUGUCUAAAAAAUGG